rnacentral:rRNA from 1 species
CACGGGGGGAGCAAGCGUUGUUCGGAAUCACUGGGCGUAAAGGGCGUGUAGGCGGUCAAGUAAGUGGAAUGUGAAAGCCCCCGGCUUACCCGGGGAUCUGCAUCCCAAACUGCUUGGCUUGAGUACGGGAGAGGAUAGGGGAAUUCCUGGUGUAGCGGUGAAAUGCGUAGAUAUCAGGAGGAACACCGGUGGCGUAGGCGCCUAUCUGGCCCGAUACUGACGCUGAGGCGCGAAAGCUAGGGGAGCAAACGGG